rnacentral:rRNA from 1 species
AGAGUUUGAUCCUGGCUCAGGAUGAACGCUAGCGGGAGGCCUAACACAUGCAAGCCGAGCGGUAUUGUUUCUUCGGAAAUGAGAGAGCGGCGUACGGGUGCGGAACACGUGUGCAACCUGCCUUUAUCUGGGGGAUAGCCUUUCGAAAGGAAGAUUAAUACUCCAUAAUAUAUUGAACGGCAUCGUUUAAUAUUGAAAGCUCCGGCGGAUAGAGAUGGGCACGCGCAAGAUUAGCUAGUUGGUGAGGUAACGGCUCACCAAGGCGAUGAUCUUUAGGGGGCCUGAGAGGGUGAUCCCCCACACUGGUACUGAGACACGGACCACACUCCUACGGGAGGCAGCAGUGAGGAAUAUUGGUCAAUGAGUGCAAGCCUGAACCACCCCUCCCGCGUGAAGGACCACCGCCCUAUGGGUUGUAAACUCUUUUUGUAUAGGGAUAAACCUCCCCUCGUGAGGGUAGCUGAAGGUACUAUACGAAUAAGCACCGGCUAACUCCGUGCCAGCAGCCGCGGUAAUACGGGAGGGUGCAAGCGUUAUCCGGAUUUUUUGGGUUUUAAAAGGGUUCCGUAGGCAGACUUAAUAAGGUCAGGUGGUUGAAAGCCUGGUCGCUUAACGAUAGAACUGCAUUGAUACUG